UAGCCGGCCUGAGAGGGUGACCGGCCACACUGGGACUGAGACACGGCCCAGACUCCUACGGGAGGCAGCAGUGGGGAAUAUUGCACAAUGGACGAAAGUCUGAUGCAGCAACGCCGCGUGAGGGACGAAGGCCUUCGGGUUGUAAACCUCUUUUAGCAGGGAAGAAGCGAAAGUGACGGUACCUGCAGAAAAAGCACCGGCUAACUACGUGCCAGCAGCCGCGGUAAUACGUAGGGUGCAAGCGUUGUCCGGAAUUAUUGGGCGUAAAGAGCUCGUAGGCGGUUUGUCGCGUCUGCUGUGAAAAUUCGAGGCUCAACCUCGAACUUGCAGUGGGUACGGGCAGGCUAGAGUGCAGUAGGGGAGAU
rnacentral:rRNA from 1 species